rnacentral:rRNA from 1 species
CCUACGGGAGGCAGCAGUGGGGAAUAUUGCACAAUGGGGGAAACCCUGAUGCAGCGACGCCGCGUGAGUGAAGAAGUAUUUCGUUAUGUAAAGCUCUAUCAGCAGGGAAGAAAAUGACGGUACCUGAGUAAGAAGCCCCGGCUAACUACGUGCCAGCAGCCGCGGUAAUACGUAGGGGGCAAGCGUUAUCCGGAUUUACUGGGUGUAAAGGGAGCGUAGACGGCAGGGCAAGUCUGGAGGGAAAGGCGGGGGCUCAACCCCCGGACUGCGUUGGAAACGGGAAGGCGGGUGGGCAGGAGAGGGAAGGGGAAUUCAGAGUGUAGGGGGGAAAUGCGUAGAUAGUAGGAGGACAACCAGGGGCGAAGGCGGUUUAUGGG